rnacentral:rRNA from 1 species
UGGGGAAUAUUGCACAAUGGGCGCAAGCCUGAUGCAGCAACGCCGCGUGAACGAUGAAGGUCUUCGGUUCGUAAAGUUCUGUUGCAGGGGAAGAUAAUGACGGUACCCUGUGAGGAAGCCCCGGCUAACUACGUGCCAGCAGCCGCGGUAAUACGUAGGGGGCUAGCGUUAUCCGGAUUUACUGGGCGUAAAGGGUGCGUAGGUGGUCUUUCAAGUCGGUGGUUAAAGGCUACGGCUCAACCGUAGUUAGCCUCCGAAACUGGAAGGCUUGAGUGCAGGAGAGGAAAGUGGAAUUCCCAGUGUAGCGGUGAAAUGCGUAGAUAUUGGGAGGAACACCAGUAGCGAAGGCGGCUUUCUGGACUGCAACUGACACUGAGGCACGAAAGCGUGGGUAGCAAACAGG